rnacentral:rRNA from 1 species
ACAGCAGUAGCCACGGUAAUACGUAGGGUGCGAGCGUUAAUCGGAAUUACUGGGCGUAAAGCGUGCGCAGGCGGUUAUAUAAGACAGAUGUGAAAUCCCCGGGCUCAACCUGGGACCUGCAUUUGUGACUGUAUAGCUAGAGUACGGUAGAGGGGGAUGGAAUUCCGCGUGUAGCAGUGAAGUGCGUAGAUAUGCGGAGGAACACCGAUGGCGAAGGCAAUCCCCUGGACCUGUACUGACGCUCAUGCACGAAAGCGUGGGGAGCAAACAGGAUUAGAUACCCCAGUAGUCCCUGUCUCUUAUAC